rnacentral:tRNA from 2 species
GCUCCUGUGGUGAAAUGGAUAUCAUUACUGACUUCGGAUCAGUCGUUCCAGGUUCGAGUCCUGGCGGGAGCA